ACGACGAAAAAAAAACAACCUGCCUUUGCGGCGAGGAGCCCCCCGCCCCAGCUGCACCCGCCGGGGAGCGCAGCGGGGAGGGGGCGGUUCGGCCCGAGGGGCCGGAGCCCGGACAAGGGGCCCCGAGCCCGGGCGGCCCCGCCAGCGCCACCGGGAAUGGGCCCGGCCAGGCCCCGCGGCGGCCCCGUCCCCGCAAGGAGAAGGGGGGCGGUUCACACAAUAAACACCGGAGGCUACAGCAGCGCGAAAUCGGGCCAUCAAGAGUAAUGCAGAGGGAAGAAAUGCAUGAACAGCUUUCUGGACCAUAUGGGAUGUUCCUACAGUUGAUCUACACUGCUAUUGAAGUUGCCAGGCACUGAGCUACCAAGAGAUGCACCAGUGCUGCUGAAAGCCAUCAUCUGGUUGUCAGAUGUCCUUUUCUGCAUAUCAAGCCCAUGGGAAUUACAGGCUCUGUAUGAAAACAAGAGGCCAUGGAAAUGUUUGUUUGCCAGUCUAUUGUUUGUCCUUUUAAAGGCUGCAGACCCACUCCAUUCUUCAUGAGAAAAUGCUGGCUGCCUGAAGGACAAACCAAACUUACUAUUUAAGGCACUAAAAAUGGAAAUCAUUUAAAACAGAGCUGAUUAAAAGGAAGAAACUAUUCUUCCAAUGAGAAGAGAAAUGAAUUGCUUUCAGCUGGCCUGAGCACUGAGCUUUGCCUGCAACAAAAACCAAAUACCAGUUGCCUGAUAGUGCAAGUAUUUUGGAGGCACUUCAUCGACCAUGACUUCAGUUUUUCCUUGUGCAUGACUGCAAAACAAGUCUACUGCUCCUGCUCAUCCUGGCUUGGUGAGCUUUUCCUUUGGCUGGGCUGUUCAGAAGACAGCAAGGCUGUUCUUUAGGCAGAUUUUAAAGCCCAGCCUUGCUAUACCCACUUGGAAACCCUCACAAAACCUUGGUUACUUAAAUAAAAGGAGGUUCAAAAAAAAAAAAAAAUCAAGAAACAGCACACACCUUUCUUACAAUGUGACAGCUUGUGUUCUUCAAAUGACUCCAAAGAUUGUUGCUGACAUGAUGAGUUUUCAGCACAUUCAGAAAAGAGGGGAAAAAGGGAGAUGGAUGUGCAAGCACUAAAGUUUUGUCAAGCAAAGAUUUGGGUGUCUUGUCGAUACAACACACUUCCAAGACACGCAGAAAAACACUUAUAGGAGCACCUGGGGUUUUUUCAGUUAGCACCUCUGUUUGCUUUAUCAAUGCCCCCUUCAUCAAAGAGGUUGAAAAAAAACCAUCCAAGACAAAUAAGGGGAUCCAGUUAUUCAACAUGGGUUUCAUAGAUUCAACAUGACCUGUAUUAGAUCAACCUGACUCUUAUGACAAUUCAUAAUAUGAAUAUAUCAAACUUCUUUCACUCUAAAUCUGAAGAUCAGUCCAGAUUUAAACUACAAAAUAUUUUUGUUUCCUACCUUGAAACUCUCAUAAUGACUAUAGUUGUGAUCAGGAUGUGAGUUCAAGGACACAAUGGGUUCAUAGUUUCAACCUUCCAUCACAACAAUCUGAUUCCUCCCCUCCAUCCGUGGCAAGACAGCGGCUGUUCCACAGUUCAAAAAUAUCUUGCUUCCCUCUGACAAAGGGAACUAUCAGCUGCUUCUGGACGCGCUGGAGCUGAUGAGAA